rnacentral:rRNA from 1 species
CAGCCGCCGCGGUAAUACGUAGGUCCCGAGCGCUGUCCGGAUUUAUUGGGCGUAAAGCGAGCGCAGGCGGUUAGAUAAGUCUGAAGUUAAAGGCUGUGGCUUAACCAUAGUACGCUUUGGAAACUGUUUAACUUGAGUGCAAGAGGGGAGAGUGGAAUUCCAUGUGUAGCGGUGAAAUGCGUAGAUAUAUGGAGGAACACCGGUGGCGAAAGCGGCUCUCUGGCUUGUAACUGACGCUGAGGCUCGAAGCGUGGGGAGCAAACAGGAUUAGAUACCCGCGUAGUCCCUGUCUCUUAUACAC